rnacentral:rRNA from 1 species
AGCGGUAGCACAGAGAGCUUGCGCUCGGGUGACCAGCGGGGGACGGGUGAGUGAUGUCUGGGAGACUGCCUGAUGGAGGGGGAGAACUACUGGAAACGGUAGCUAGUACCGCAUAAAGUCGCACGACCAAAGUGGGGGAGCUUCCGGCCUCUCGCGAUCAGAUGUGCCCAGAUGGGAUUAGCUAGUAGGUGGGGGAACGGCUCACCUAGGCGACGAUCCCUAGCUGGUCUGAGAGGAUGACCAGCCACACUGGAACUGAGACACGGUCCAGACUCCUACGGGAGGGAGCAGUGGGGAAUAUUGCACAAUGGGCGCAAGCCUGAUGCAGCCAUGCCGCGUGUGUGAAGAAAGCCUUCGGGUUGUAAAGUACUUUCUUCGGGGAGGAAGGCGAGGUGGUUAAUAACCUUGUCGAUUGACGUUACCCGCACAAAAAACACCGGCUAACUCCCUGCCAGCAGCCGCGGUAAUACGGAGGGUGCAAGCGUUAAUCGGAAUUACUGGGCGUAAAGCGCACGCACGCGGUCUGUCAAGUCAGAUGUGAAAUCCCCCGGCUCAACCUGGGAACUGCAUUCAAAACUGGCAGGCUAGAGUCUUGUAUAGAGGGGUAGAAUUCCAUGUGUGUCGGUGAAAUGCGUANAGAUCUGUAGGAAUACCGGUGGCGAAGGCGGCCCCCUGGACAAANACUGACGCUCACGUGCGAAAGCGUGNGGAGCAAACAGGAUUANAUACCCUGNUAGUCCACNCCCUANACNA